rnacentral:rRNA from 1 species
UGGGGAAUUUUGGACAAUGGGCGAAAGCCUGAUCCAGCAAUGCCGCGUGUGUGAAGAAGGCCUUCGGGUUGUAAAGCACUUUUGUCCGGGAAAGGAAUCCUCUGGGUUAAUACCUCGGGGGGAUGACGGUACCGGAAGAAUAAGCACCGGCUAACUACGUGCCAGCAGCCGCGGUAAUACGUAGGGUGCAAGCGUUAAUCGGAAUUACUGGGCGUAAAGCGUGCGCAGGCGGUUUUUGUAAGACGGAUGUGAAAUCCCCGGGCUUAACCUGGGAACUGCAUUCGUGACUGCAAGGCUAGAGUAUGGCAGAGGGGGGUAGAAUUCCACGUGUGAGCAGUGAAAUGCGUAGAGAUGUGGAGGAAUACCGAUGGCGAAGGCAGCCCCCUGGGCCAAUACUGACGCUCAUGCACGAAAGCGUGGGGA